GUGUCCACUUGGACAGCACAUACACUAAAACUGAAAGGACACAGAGAUUAGCAUGGCCCCUGCAAAAGGAUGACAUGCAAGUUCAUGAAGAGUUCCAUAUUUUU